UCCUCGGUAACUUAUAAUAUCCUUAUAAUUUACAAGAGGGGGUACUUUAUUCACGAUAUAUUAGUUACAAGCAGUGUAUUCUGAUCUGUUAGGCAAAGCAUUGGCACCGUUUUGUUAAAAGAGGUUUUUAGUGAGAAAUUCAGAUGUGUGUGCAUGCAGAUAAUUUAGCCUGACUACUGUCAGAAGUUUUCUUGUGAUAACAUAUCUCUGUGGCCCUGCUUAUGUUUGUUUAUGCCUCUGCUUUCGCAACUUUGCAUUGUAUGGUAUGGUACUGACAUGAGGCAGGAAAGGCACAGUAUAAUAUCUCCAUCAACACUAUAUUAUAAACAUGGAAAUUAACUCACCAUAAGGCACAAGGGGAAAAAGGCAACCAAUUCAAAAAUAAUACAAGAAUAAAUAGUUUCACUGUCAUGGUGAUUUUUCUGUACCCCUAGUCCUUAAAGAGGGAAGGAUUUCAUGGUUCUUUGGACCCCACUUGUUGGAGGGGUGGAUAAUGCUUAAGAACCUGAGGCAGGAAAUCUUGGCAGGAAAAGAUUCAUAAGGCAUGCAAUGUGUGAUCUGCUGGGAGUUGUAAUGAUAAGUAACAAUUUUUUGCUGAUGGAAAAUACAAGUGCUCUUUGCAAUAUUAAAAAUCCAGUUCCUAAAGAAUGCUGUAUAUAUGGGAGUAAGAUUUGUUGCAACAAGAAAAUUGUUAAAUAACUUAUACCUAUACACCCUCUGUAUCUAAAAAAACGACAAUUCUUAGCAUUUGUCUUACUUUACUGAAUGUCAACAAGACCAAGGUUAUCACUGUUUGCAACAGCUUUUCAAAUUUAAAUGUUUCAUAAAAAGCAAACAUGGAAGAAUAAGAUAAGAGCUUCAUUUGCUUAUCUGAAGACUGAGCCACUGGUGUUCUUUCUUUGGUCAAGAGGGCUGGGGGAUGCUUCCAUACGAUAUAUUACAAAUGAACACAUAAACCAUCCUAUUAAAGAAUUACUCAGCAUGAUUGCUGACAGUGCACUUAGUAAUACACAUUCCUGUGUAUUUUCAUAGAAAUGUGUCUGAACAGAAGUACUGUACAAAGUAGAAAGCACAAAAGUGAACACAGAAUUGUGCAGAAUGUAAUGCUAAUCACACAGGUACUUGAGCUUACACAUGCUCCCCUGGUAGUCUGGAGUAGAAUAAUUACCUAUUUUUAAUUCAGAAAAAUCAUGGCAGUUACAUUUAUGAUGUUUAUCUUUGUACCCAUGAAUAUGUGGGAAUUAUGGGAUGCUGCAAAAUAAAUGGAAAUUUAACAAAAA